CUGGUUAAGGAAGUUAAGAGAUACUCUUGCCGGUGGACUUAGUUGCCAAGUUCAAGUACUAUAAUUGUCAAGUUUAGGGACUAAAAGUUAUAUUAACCCUAAAGAAAAAGUAAAAGAGGGGAGGUGACAUGGAAAAAAGAGAUUGGACUCGGGUGUCAAGCUGAUAUCCACCGUUGAUGAGAAAAUCAGAGAAUCAAUCGUAGGGUCCAAAACAAUCCCUAGACAAAGAUUGAAAGCGAGCAAGCCUUGAAAUGUAAAACUUCCAACAUUUGACAUUAGCUCAGAUACGGAUCAUCAUUUACUUCAAAAAAAAAAAAAAAAGUUAGGGUUUUAAUUUGAAAUCGGAUUCGGUAGAGAUUAAGCAAUGGCUGGAGAAAGGGCCUUGUUCAAGUUCCUUAAGCCUGGGCAACGUCUACAGCCCGCCGACGUUCAAGCUGCCGCCAUGUGGGGCGUCGCUGCCACUACCGGCGCUCUUUGGCUCAUUCAGCCUUUUGAUUGGUUGAAGAAGACCUUUCUGGAGAAACCAGAGUCGGAGUAGAAGCAAAUGGGACAUCUUGCAACUCAUUGCGGUUUUGUUUAUCGGGUUUGCUGAUGAACAAAUCAUGGAAAGAAUAAAAAUAAUAAUGUAGUAAGUGUAAUUUUUUGUGGUUUAUUGUUAAGAGAACAAGCCUCUUUACUUUUGGUAUCAAUUACUGGGAAGUUUUGAACCUUUCACCUUCAGUUUGAACUGUUGUCUCAUUUCUACUUGAGUUUAUGAAUUCAUGCAUUCAUAAAGAGGUUUAGUUGAGAUUCUGAUUGGAAUGUAAAUCAAAAGGGAAAUGAAUGGUAUAAAUAAUUGAAUUAAACAUUAUUGAAA